rnacentral:rRNA from 2 species
GUUGAUAGGUCAGAGGUGUAAGUAUGGCAACAUAUUUAGCUGACUGAUACUAAUAGGUCGAGGGCUUGACCAAUAA